rnacentral:lncRNA from 1 species
GGAAAGCGGCGAGUAAGAUGGAAGAUGAGGAGGUCGCUGAGAGCUGGGAGGAGGCGGCAGACAGCGGGGCCAACCAGGAUCUCCCAACCCGAAGAUAGCAGGCAGCCCAGUAAUGUGAUCAGACAGCCGUUGGGUCCUGACGGGUCACAAGGCUUCAAACAGCGCAGAUAAAUGCAGGCCAGAAAGGCUGCUGCCGCCGCCGCCGCCACCACCACCACCACCGCCUCCUGGAUUGUCUGCCAUGGGUCGCACUGCUGUGGCAGACGUCUGGACUUGAGCAGAGGGAAUAACCUGACUUACUUGCACUGUGAUCCCCCUUGCUCCGCCCACUGUGACCUUGAACCCCAUGCACUGUGACCUCUGCCUCCCCCCCUUCCCACUGUGAUUGGCA